ACCCAAUGAGCCGCGGCCCAAGGUCAUCCUCGUCUGCUCGUCUCGGUUGGUGAACGAGGGAAGCUACAGAAGAAAGCCCUUGCAAUCCCCGUUCAUCGUCGUUUCCUCGGUCAUUGGACAUCGUCGGUGAUCGCACUGUUGUCGUAACUUCCUCUUUCUCCUUUUCGCCUCAACUGCAAUCAUCGUGCGCUGCAUUGUUGAUUCUGGAAGUAACUGGAGUCUCUGCCGCUACAGGAUGGCUUUAUAGAGUCUACCAAGCAGGGAGAUCUUCCUGUCGCAUCCCUAUUGGACCUUCUUAAUGAGUCGUCAAUUGGGACAGUAAUAUUACUGGCCGUUAUUUUUGUAUAUUUUUACAGAAAAAAACAAAUAAAAGAGAUAAUUUUGGAUCA